rnacentral:rRNA from 2 species
UCAUUGUAGCAAUACAAGGCAGACGGCUCAGUAACACGUAGUCAAUCUACCCUAUGGACGGGGAUAAUCUCGGGAAACUGAGGAUAACACCCGAUAGAUCAUAAUGCCUGGAACGGUUUAUGGUUCAAACGAUUCGUCGCCGUAGGAUGGGACUGCGGCCUAUCAGCUUGUUGGUGAGGUAAUGGCCCACCAAGGCUAUUACAGGUACGGGCUCUGAGAGGAGAAGCCCGGAGAUGGGUACUGAGACACGGACCCAGGCCCUAUGGGGCGCAGCAGGCGAGAAACCUUUGCAAUGUGCGCAAGCACGACAAGGUUAAUCCGAGUGUUUCCUGCUAAAGGAAUCUUUUGUUAGUCGUAAAACCACUAUCGAAUAAGGGGUGGGCAAGUUCUGGUGUCAGCCGCCGCGGUAAAACCAGCACCUCAAGUGGUCAGGAGGGUUAUUGGGCCUAAAGCAUCCGUAGCCUGUUCUAUAAGUUUCCGGUUAAAUCCAUUAGCUCAACUAAUGGGCUGCCGAAAAUACUGUAGAACUAGGGAGUGGGAGAGGUAGACGGUAUUCAGUAGGAAGGGGUAAAAUCCUUUGAUCUAUUGAGGACCACCUGUGGCGAAGGCGGUCUACCAGAACACGUUCGACGGUGAGGGAUGAAAGCUGGGGGAGCAAACCGGAUUAGAUACCCGGGUAGUCCCAGCCGUAAACGAUGCAGACUCGGUGAUGCGCUGGCUUGUGGCCAGUGCAGUGCCGCAGGGAAGCCGUUAAGUUUGCCGCCUGGGAAGUACGUACGCAAGUAUGAAACUUAAAGGAAUUGGCGGGGGAGCACCACAA